rnacentral:rRNA from 1 species
GCUUAUGGCCAUACCAGCCUGGCUAUGCCUGAUCUUGUCUUGAUCUCGUAAGCUAAGCAGGUUUGGGCCUGGUUAGUGCCUGGAUGGGAGACCGCCUGGGAAUGCCAGGUACUGUAAGCU